AGGGGAUAAUGCAAUAAUUACAUGUCCCCCUAAACAGUUUUACUCCCCAAAAGAAACAUCUAAUAUGGGACAAAGGGAGGGAGUACUAACAAUUAAUUUGUUGGUAAAAUAGAAAUUUGGAAUUAAAAGACAUUCAUUUUAUGCAACUACUUUAUUGAAAUAAAUAAGAUUGUUUCAUAAAAACACUGCUUAACAACUCACAAAGAAUAAGAAAAUCAUCUCAAAACAUAUACAAACAAUUAAAUUGUUCGAUAAAAUAAAAAAGUCAAAUAAAAAGGUACUAUUUUUUUUGUUUGAAAAAAUAGGGGGAAACCAAAAUUUUAAAAUUUAAUCUGAACUCUCCAAACCCUACUCUCCUCCGCCGUCUCCUUCACAACCAGCUAUUUCUCUCAAAAACCCCCCAUUCACCAUUUUUGUUCUAUCUGGCUCAAAGAAAUGGUGAAUCAUGUUCAUCUCUGGUACAAGAGGCAAAGGCCACACAGACUAAACGGGUAUGCUAUUGUAAUAUGUCCCAUGGGGGAUAUAAAUAGGAAUAGAGUCGGGAGAGGAGUGGGUAAAGGGUUAUCCAUUAAAAACUUUGAGGAGAAUGCUGCUGCCAUGAGGUUGAAAAAUAGACUUGACCGUUAUGACCACCCCAAUAUUCUGAAAUGUGUCAUGUUCCGGCGGGAGGACAAUGGGAGUAUUAAUCUUUUCUUUGAGAGUGUUUCUGGCAUGAGAAUAGUUGACUGGAUCAAUACAUGUAAUGCAGGUGGCCUUUGGAGAAGAGAUGAUGGAAAAGUGGUUUUUGUGACUCCAUCAGACAACUUCAUCAAAGUGAUUGGAGGAAUAGUAGCAGGUCUGGAUAAGUUUUUCAUCAGAGACGGAUAUUAUAGGGUAGUCUGUCAACUAUAUUUGUAGAUGAAGACUUUCAUGUCAAAUUGACAAAGCCUAAGCACCGUAAUGACACUUUAAACCGGAUGAGAAUGGAGAUUAUUGAAUUUCAAGAGAUUGUUCAGUUGGCUGGACAGAAAAUCUCAAAUCCACCUCCUGCCUUUGUUGAAUUGUAUAGUGUGUUUAUCAACAUCUGUCUGCCUCUGUGCAAUACCAGAGAAAUAAUGAGUGACCUAUGGUUUUUUAUAAAAAAUCACGCUCUCUUCUACAAUAGUGUGAAGAGGUACAAUUUUAUAAGAAAAAUCAGCCGAAUGGAAAAGACAUCAAUCAUAAAGGAUAUCUUGAUGGGUCCAAAUGGUUUCGAUCUUUUGUUACUUCUCGAGGUCUUGAGUGGUACUGCCAGACAAGAGAAGAAAGAGAAGAGUGAGAAGAAGCUACAAAAACAGGAAGAACAAGGCUACUGAGACAACAACGGGAACAGAAAAAGCAAAGUCGAAGUCAGUAUCGAAAACAGCAAAUGCAAAGACGACCGGAACAAAGAGCUCCUCAGCAACAACAGCAGCAAAGAGCUCCUCAGCAACAGCAGCAAAAGAAACGGAAAAGACAAGAGCAGCAGCAAGGAUCUCCUCAGCAACCGCAGCAGGAAAAGAAACCGAAAAUGCAUGCUCCCUAUUUGGCACCCAAAAGCAUACUCAAGUUCAGUAGAUGUUCAUUCGAGCAUUUGGUGAAAAAAAAACUUCAGCAACUUUCUCACGAGGAGCAGACUCAGAAGAAGUCUAAGAAACAUGAGCGUAUUGAUCUUGAAAAAAUUAUUGUAAUUUCGGACAUUCUGUUUGAGGAUUUUCCUGACGCCGUGGGAAAAACUUUUCAUGAAUUGGGGCUUAUCUAUUUUCGAGCUAAUAAUAAUGAAAGGAUGCUGCUAAAAGCCGAACUGGAAGAAGACCCCUAUAAACUUGGGGAGUUGAGUGUUGAGUCUCUCUUUGAUCUCAAUCUUCCUGAUGGCAAGUGGUGGAUAACUUUAACUUUUGAUUCUUUUGUUUUUAGCUGGGGGUAUUGUAAUGGAUGUUCUUGGGUGCAUACACACCCUGAAAAACUUUUAUCAUACUAUUUACAUGUGGAGGAGCAGAUUUGAAGGGGUGCAUGUAAUGGAUAUUAUUGCGCAUGAUUUCAUUGCAUCAGGUUUAUUUAAUUUGACUAUCCAAAUAUUUUGAUGUAUUAUUUUUAUUUUUAUUUUUUUUCUGAUUUACAAUGUGGUUGAAUGAAUAUUUUGCUUACUAGCUGUUUGUGGUCUAGAUUUUGCUGUUGGGUGUUCAAGGGACUGAUAUGCCAACCUCUCCGUUGUUUGUUGCUAAUUAUUUCCAUUAUGUAUCAGCUUAUCUUUUUUGGUUGUCUCUCCUUGUAUUUAAUAUUAGUUACAUUGGUACUUUUUUCCUUGUUUUUUGUCUUGAGGUUUCUGCCCCUGCUUGAUAAAUAUACAGUGUUGAAAUGGUUUCAAUGUCGCAAAUACAAUUGGAUGUUCCAGUCAUUUCCAGAGCUAUGGGAUCUAUAAAAGAGGUAUUUUAGCAAACUAUUUUCCUUCCAAAUUUUGUCUUCUAUUACUUAUAUGUAGUCUUUUGUGUUGAUUGUUUGGUAAUUUCAAGUAGCAUCUGUACUCUCAUUUCUAUGUAUUACUCACUCCUUAUAUAAAAAUAUGAAUUGUAUUAAGUCAAGUAUAUUCAUUUUUUCAUCUUUAAUUUUGUCCACUUCAAUGUGAUUAUGCCAGAUUGCUUGCACAUGUUGCAAGACCUGUUUUAACAUUUUUAGGCACUUUAUUCUUUUGAAUUUCUUAGAAUAGCAAUUAUUUUUUGGUGUAAUUUGUGUUACUUUCUUACAGAUAGAUACAUGCAGUUAAGUUUUCAGCUAAAUUUCGUUAUACAGUACUUUGUACCUUCGAAGUAACUUAGGUCUCUGAUUGAACAAAUUCAUGUAGGUCUCUGAUUGUAGUAUUAUAAAUAUGAUUAUUUCGACUUGGUAACUUCAUCAGGCCAUUCCGGUGACAUCAUGAUCUGGAAAGAUCUUAGAUUGCUGGGGAAUAAUUUCUCUUAUUCUUUUUUUUUUUUUUUUCUUUUUUUUUGGUAGUUUGAAACUUCUGGAGAUGUUUGGAUGUUCUUGGCACGAUGUGUAUUCUAAUUUGUUAUAUAUUCCCUUUUCUAAGAGGGUUUCAAGUUGAAAGA